GAUAAUUUUGCCCUUAUAAAAAAUCUCUAAUCUAAACUCUCUCUCGUGAUCUCACUCUUGUCUCUCACGAUCUCCAAAUCCAUCCAUGGAGAUUGAAGCUCGUAUCCUUCUCUGGUGAUCAACGUCCGUUCUACCUAGCAAAAACAUGUAUUAUUGAUUCGAUUCUUCCAAGCUUCUCUCACUUAUAGGCUAAUCUAAAUUGUCUCUCUCUCAUGAUCUCCAUGGCGAUUCUCCCUCUAUAGUUCGCGAUCCAUGGCAAUUGAAGCUCAUCUCACUCUCUAGUGAUCAACACUCAUUCUACCUCUUAAACAGGUAUGGAUGUAAGAGAUAAAAAAACAUGGUUGGUCACCGAAAGAAGAUGAAAAGCUUGUGGGUUCAAUGCUUAUGUUGAAAAAAAAAGGGAACUCACAAUAAUAACGACAAAGGUGGAUUUACAAAAGGACAUCAAACAGAGUUGGACAUGUUGAGAAUGAUGUUGCCCGGUCAUAACAUAUUUGAGAAGCAUGUUGACUCGCAUAUUAGAACAUUAAAAAAACAUUGUGGGAUUAUCUAUGAUUUGCGAACAAAUCAAGGAAGUGGAUUUGGUUGGGAUGAUGAGAAGAAAUCACUUGUAGCUUCUACAGAUGUAUGGGAUGAGUUUGUAAAGAUAAUAUGUUAAUUUACAGAUAUGUGUGUAUCGAAAACUUUUAGUUUGUCACUAUGUUUUAUUCGUGUUCUAA